CGGACGGGUGAGUAACGCGUGGGUAACCUACCCUGUACACACGGAUAACAUACCGAAAGGUAUGCUAAUACGGGAUAAUAUAUUUGAGAGGCAUCUCUUGAAUAUCAAAGGUGAGCCAGUACAGGAUGGACCCGCGUCUGAUUAGCUAGUUGGUAAGGUAACGGCUUACCAAGGCGACGAUCAGUAGCCGACCUGAGAGGGUGAUCGGCCACACUGGGACUGAGACACGGCCCAG
rnacentral:rRNA from 1 species